UUUCAUUUCUUUCUCUUCCAGCUGAAUUAAAGAAGAAAACAUGCAAAUCAACUCGAAGAUCAAUCAAAUCCCUCUUUGAGGCUUCAGAUGCAGAGGAACACCAAUCUAAUGAAUCUAUUGAUGAAAACUUCACUUCAGACACAGAGAGACACAGCUCAUCUACAUCGAACUCCUAAUUGGACAUAAUUGGUCUUCAUAUGUAAGGAAGGAGCUUUGAAAGAAGCAGAAUACAGUAAAAAAAAAAAUUCUUUGAAAGCAAAGUGCAGCAACAGAAGUAGUUUCUGAUCAAGUAUCUGAUAAGAUGCAAUAAUCAUACUACCAAAGUACUUUUGCAAGUUUUUCUGAUACCAAUUCUUUACAUUUUAAUUUUAUUAUUAUUAUUUUUGUUUCUCUUUUUCUGUAAUGUAGGAUGUAAUUGUUCAUGGGCUCUUUAUAAAUUUAUCAGAAUUUUUA